rnacentral:rRNA from 1 species
AUUGAACGCUGGCGGCAGGCCUAACACAUGCAAGUCGAGCGAGCGGCGGACGGGUGAGUAAUGCCUAGGAAUCUGCCUGGUAGUGGGGGAUAACGUCCGGAAACGGGCGCUAAUACCGCAUACCAUCAGAUGUGCCCCGGUGGGAUUGGCUAGUAGGUGGGGUAACGGCUCACCUAGGCGACGAUCCCUAGCUGGUCUGAGAGGAUGACCAGCCACACUGGAAAUGCGACACGGUCCAGACUCCUACGGGAGGCAGCAGUGGGGAAUAUUGAACAAUGGGCGCAAGCCUGAUGCAGCCAUGCCGCGUGUGUGAAGAAGGCCUUCGGGUUGUAAAGAACUUUCAGCGGGGAGGCGUUACCCGCAGAAGAAGCACCGGCUAACUCCGUGCCAGCCGCAGCGGUAAUAC